rnacentral:tRNA from 1 species
AGCUAGUUAGUUUAUAAUAAAAAAUUUUUGUUUGUGGUACAAAAGAAUUUGUUAGCUAU